AAGAGCAGUCACACCUAACAAGAGCCAAAUUACGCAUACUGGUACAAAGAAGAAAGUGCAGAGAGCAGUCACUGAGCUCUUGAAGCCUCCUUCAAUACAAGGUGGAAAGGGUGAAUGGACACCAGGCUCAUCUCCAUCUACAACACGAUCAUACUGUUACAUGAUGCAGUGGAGUAUA